CCAGGUCAUGUGUCUUCUCAGUCAUGUUGACACUGGUCUACUACCAGGUCAUGUGACUUCUCAGUCAUGUUGACACUGGUCCACUACCAGGUCAUGUGUCUUCUCAGUCAUGUUGACACUGGUCUACUACCAGGUCAUGUGUCUUCUCAGUCAUGUUGACACUGGUCUACUACCAGGUCAUGUGUCUUCUCAGUCAUGUUGACACUGGUCUACUACCAGGUCAUGUGUCUUCUCAGUCAUGUUGACACUGGUCUACUACCAGGUCAUGUGUCUUCUCAGUCAUGUUGAGACUGGUCUACUACCA